ensembl:lncRNA
AUGUGCUUACAAAUGUUCAUUCCCUUAAGUGUAGAAAUGGUAUGUCUUACACAAAACUGGACAUCACUUCCCCAUACUCAGUCGAAACUUAUUAAACAUCAGAUAUUCAUCAGACAAUCUGACAACUCUGGAAGUAUCAAAAAGAACAAGACAUGGUUCCUGUUCUCAAGCAGCUCACAGCUUAGAGGACUCUUCCACAGGAUCUUUCCAGUGGGUCGAGAAUGCAAGUAUCAGCAUGAUUUCUAUGUCUAUAGGUUCUUUGACGCUUCCUUUAAUCACAUGGAUGGUGCACCCAAAAGCUUCCAACUGGGCGUGAUUGCAUACUCAGCAGUUGUUAUAGAAUACACUAUGCUCAAGCUGAAAGGGUUCACUGAGACCUUCUAACAUUGCACUGAUGAGAUACUAGAACCUAGAAAGGUGAAGUCACUUACUCAAAGUCAAGCAACCAGCGGGUAAAAAUAAGCCCUGAGGGCAUUAUGUCCAAAGCUGUGUGGCAAGGUCCAGCUUUGGCUGGCACAUUUGGGAAGGGGGCCUGCCAGGCAUAUCAACAACCCAGCUUCUGCAGGACUGCUUCAGACAAGUACAUGGAAGCAAGAUGUGAUGGCAACAUUGCUGGAUGAAGAAGUUUGGUGAUGCCCUAAGAAGCCUUGAGUAGGACAGCUACCCUUUCCAGGCCCUCUCACCUUAUGACUCUCACGGUCCUAAAAGUCCCUUUCAGCUCUUAAGCUCUACUGUAGAAACAUAGACUUUGGAACACUAGGUAUCCUAACACUACUGUGAAAUCUAGGUAGCCUACUAGCAAAAAGCAGACUGCACAGAGUAAGUGNNNNNNNNNNNNNNNNNNNNNNNNNNNNNNNNNNNNNNNNNNNNNNNNNNNNNNNNNNNNNNNNNNNNNNNNNNNNNNNNNNNNNNNNNNNNNNNNNNNCUAGGUAGCCUACUAGCAAAAAGCAGACUGCACAGAGUAAGUGGGUGACAGUCAUGCCAUUACAACCAGGCCUUGCAUCAGUCUUUUAAACAGGUAGUCAGGUCCACAUGAUGAUGAAAUCUAGAGGCUUCUAACACUCCUAGCUCAAGGUUUAGCCACAAACACAUCCAUGACCUCAGCCUAACUAUUCCUAAGCCCUACCAGCUUCUGAUCAUCCACCUUGCCUGGACCAUAGGCCUUGUCACCUGGUGCUAUUCUCCCACUAACUUGUACCCCUCCUUGUCUACAACUUGCCCAGCCUCCAGUAGCCCUAAGGAAAGGACCCUUCUAGAUCCUACCUGGAGCAAAGGAUCCCACCUCAGCUUUAAUCUCUCAUGUGUAACUGGGAUUUGCUCAAAUUAUCUACAAUUCAUAUACUAACAUUCACACACACACACACAGUCACCUGCCCUUCCAACCACCAGUGUAAUAGUGGAGGAGAGCUUUCACUGAACUCUACUAUGAAAGUUUCCAUUGAUUCAACAGCCACCUGCCCAAACCUAAGAGCUCUUCCAAUUCAAUAAUAUUGAUCAAUAUUAGACCUACAAAUGCUCAUUCAUGUCCUGUAAACUGAGAUGAACCAGACUGUCAAGGUAGNNNNNNNNNAAAUAAAAACCUGAAAGCAGCUUAUGGAAGGUCAGAAUUCCUCCGUAGGCCUUGCAAUUUCAUAACAAAUGCCUCACAAUGAAUAGCUUGAUGAGGACAGGGCUCUCCACACAGCGAGAAUUUUUCUUUCAUUUGGCAAGCAAUGAAAUCAUUAAGGCCAUAUAUCACCAUUCCCACUAACAGAAUCUCUCUGUGUCAUCUCUUUCAGUGUGCAUGCAAGCAGAAGACACACAUCUAUUGUCUCUUACUUCUGGAAGUUGUAAAUGCAGGGAAAUUGUCAUCAUUAAACUGAAUAUAAUGGUCCCCUCACCCCCUCCCCCUUGCAUUUUCUCACUCCACACCUCGGCUCUGCCUGACACAUCCCUUAUAAAUGUCAGCACAAAAGUAUGUCCCGAAGACCAAUGGGCACAAAAUUCUGAUUACCAGUGAAAAUCCAUCAUGUGAUACCGAACAUUCACCCCUACAGCGAAAGGAAAUGGCAAUUGCCUUUGCUGUGCAAGGUGGAGAACCCGACCUCAAAGUGUCUCUGGUGGUAUAAACAGGUUAUGAAGAUGGGUACAGACAAAGGCCACCAGCCACAGGCCACCAGACAUCCUCACCUCCCAAGUGUGCUGUUGGGAACCACAGACAGCUCUAAUUAAAGUCCUCUUUCUCUGCUCCCACAUCUUAACCCUGAACCAGGAACUUCUUGCCUGGCCAAGAUGAACCCCAGAAAAUCCCCAGCAAGGGCUAUGAAAGGGUUCACCCCAGAAACCACUCCUUUGGGGAAACAGAAAGGAAUGGCAAGUGAGCUCUGCCCAGGGCAGCUGGGCUGGUUCACUGCAAAGAAGAAGGUGUAGCUUUGAUGUCACCAGCAGGCAGCUCAAGAGGUCAGAGAGAGAGCUCUGAGCUACCAGCAUGCUGAGCCAGCAGGGGAAGGAGGAGGCUUCCUGACCUGAGGAGUUCUGCAGGAGGCCUUGCCAUCCAUGGGAUGUCAGGGGCUGUCAUUAGGCCACAAGGACUGUUUGGCCUUGAGCAUCAGUUAUGUUAUGUAAAUUAUGCUUAAUGAAAGUGCAGCCUUGGUCCAUAAAAACUUAACAACGCAUGUGUCUUCAUUUGAGCGGUCCCCAGCAGCCACCACCUCCCUUCACAGACUGCAUUAACGGGGCUUUUGCCACACGUCCCUGUCUUCCAUGACCACCGUCUGGAGGGCCUCAGGAGAAGGAAAGGGGUUGGCGUACACUUAAGAAGACAAAUGUGCCAUUGUGGAGUUGGCAUCAGGGAGCCCAAGCACACACGCAGGACAGUGAAGCAGAUGCGGCUGAACCCAUCCCUCCUCCCCAGGCACUCUUUGUGAACAUCACUCAGAUGGCUGUGAAAGAUAAAAUUCACUCUUGCAUUCCUGAGAGCUGGAUGUCACCUCUGAUUCAUCAGCAGGUAUUUAUUAAGUGCCUCCCACGUACAUAAUACAUAGCAAAGACAUACAUCUCUCUCUCCUGACAAGCAGGUAACAGGGUGUGACUCUAAGACACCCCAUCUUGAGAUGCCCAGAGCAAACCUUUAGGUGUUCUCUAGCUGCUGCUUUCGGUUCUAUGCCAAUCAUCUUUCAAGAAGAAAUCUCCAAGAAAAGAAAGUCUGAAAUCCCCAGCUUUAAAAUGUAAUAAAGGUCCCCAGAGUUCAAAAGGAAAGGAACUGGAAUUGUUACUGUGAGAAGAGGAAGUUUGGCUUGGCAUGGCCCUAGUUAUUAUAAUUAUUAAAUAUUUCUGAAAGUCAAGUUCCUCCCCACAGACUGUAAAACUCUCCAUGGACUCAUCCUCCCCACCUGCCCCAGGCCCAGCUCUCUCUCUCUCUCCCAUCGUCUCUCCAACAGCCACACUGGCCUCCUCUCGGUGCCUCACCAUCAUUCAGCUCCCUCCAGACAAGAUUCUUGUACUUGCUGCUCCCUCUGCCAACAGGGCUCUUCUCUUUUCUCUUUCCUAACUAACUCCACCUCCUUCAGCAUCCAAGUGAGACAUCACUUCAUCAGGAAAUCUUCC